AUGCUGGAGCAUUGUGAAGCAGGAUUUUAUGGAUGUGUUCCAGCAGCUCUUUCAGAUGCGUGGCCGCGGCUUCUGCAAGCUCAACCAAGCUCUUCUCACGCUGUUGCCGAAGCGCGCCGAUGCCCAGGAGUUGCGCGACUACCGCCCGAUAUGCCUCAUUCACAUCGUGGCCAAGGUUUUCGCCAAGGCCCUCUCGCUCAGGCUGGCCCCAAAACUUGA
rnacentral:rRNA from 1 species